rnacentral:misc_RNA from 1 species
AACGCAUAUUGCGCUCUCCGGCAUUCCGGAGAGCAUGCCUGUUUGAGUCUUGGUACCAAUCUGGUGUAACCUUUGUAUUAAGGAUAGAACUUUUUAUAAAAAACUGCAUUGAGACGUCUUGAUAAGUAAAAUUGUUAAGUGUCUUAAAAUACAAUAGUACAGCUAUAGCUCACCCUCUUUGGAGUAAUAUGUGACCUGAAAGGGUAACUCUAUUUCUCCUCGUUGGGAAGACUUGUUGCUGGAAGUUUUUGAUUGCUGAACGUCAAAGGCGGCAUUCAAUUGUUCGAGUAACGACGAACUUAAAAAUUCAAGCUCAAAUCAGGUAGGAUUACCCGCUGAACUUAA